CGUUCAUGGCCGCGUGCUUACCAUGCAAGUCGACGAUGAACCGCUUUCGGGCGGGGAUUAGUGGCGAACGGGUGAGUAACACGUGGGCAAUCUGCCCUGCACUCUGGGACAAGCCCUGGAAACGGGGUCUAAUACCGGAUAUGACUGUCCAUCGCAUGGUGGAUGGUGUAAAGCUCCGGCGGUGCAGGAUGAGCCCGCGGCCUAUCAGCUUGUUGGUGAGGUAGUGGCUCACCAAGGCGACGACGGGUAGCCGGCCUGAGAGGGCGACCGGCCACACUGGGACUGAGACACGGCCCAGACUCCUACGGGAGGCAGCAGUGGGGAAUAUUGCACAAUGGGCGAAAGCCUGAUGCAGCGACGCCGCGUGAGGGAUGACGGCCUUCGGGUUGUAAACCUCUUUCAGCAGGGAAGAAGCGAAAGUGACGGUACCUGCAGAAGAAGCGCCGGCUAACUACGUGCCAGCAGCCGCGGUAAUACGUAGGGCGCAAGCGUUGUCCGGAAUUAUUGGGCGUAAAGAGCUCGUAGGCGGCUUGUCACGUCGGUUGUGAAAGCCCGGGGCUUAACCCCGGGUCUGCAGUCGAUACGGGCAGGCUAGAGUUCGGUAGGGGAGAUCGGAAUUCCUGGUGUAGCGGUGAAAUGCGCAGAUAUCAGGAGGAACACCGGUGGCGAAGGCGGAUCUCUGGGCCGAUACUGACGCUGAGGAGCGAAAGCGUGGGGAGCGAACAGGAUUAGAUACCCUGGUAGUCCACGCCGUAAACGGUGGGCACUAGGUGUGGGCAACAUUCCCACGUUGUCCGUGCCGCAGCUAACGCAUUAAGUGCCCCGCCUGGGGGAGUACGGCCGCAAGGCUAAAAACUCAAAGGAUUUGACGGGGGCCCUCCCAAGCGGCUGAGCAUGUGGCUUAUUUCGACGCAACGCGAAAGAAA
rnacentral:rRNA from 1 species